AGCUCCCGCAGCUGCUCCUCCCCAGCCCUGCUCUGCAGACCCUUCCCAGCUCUGUUCCUGCAUCACGAAGGCAGAGAAGUCUCUGGCCCUAGCUAGAGGUAGGCUUCUCGGCAGGCAGCCCUCCCCAGGCUCCUCACCCACCACCAGGGGGUUGGAGUGCGAUGGGUUUGGUCUCUUCUGCUGAGUAAGAAGUGGCCUCAGGGUGUCUCAGGGGGACAUUAGAAGAAGCUGCUCCACUGAGAGGGCUCUCAGGGCCUGGCACAGGCUGCCCAGGCAGGUAAACAAUGAGGCCUUCUGCUCUGCAGGCAGUGACAUUUUGGGGCUGUUUUGCAGCAGUUGGUGUCAGCAAGAAAGCCUUGAGAAGCAGAUAUAUACUUUGGCAUUUAGUGCCUUGAAUUGCAUCUGGCAGCAGAAGUUCACCUGGGAGGCUCCAGAGGGGCCCUGCCAGUUUUGUUUCUUGCUCUAACCAUUAGUUGUGGCCAGCAGCCUCCUGUUACCUCCUGUGCUCCUUUGGCUCUGCCACAGUGUGCACAUCUGCCUGGGUGCUGCCCUGUGCGGGCCUGCGUGGUCCUGUGCUGCAGUGGUGGACACAAACUGCACUGUUUGUGGUGUGGUUGGUGGGACAGGGCUGGGGAGAGCUUGGGCUGGAUGAGCUCGGAGGUCUCUUCCGACCUGGCUGAUGCUGUGAGCUCUGGAGAGCUUCAGAUCUGCUGAGGUCUGCUGGAGUGCUGUGGUGUAGCCCCAGCCCUGGCAGAGGUGGAGAGCAGCUGGACUGGAUCACCUUAAAGGGCUCCUCCAGCCGAGGCACCUGUGCUGCCGGGGUGGGUUUGCAGAGCAGCCAGCCUGCAGAGGGGGCUGACAUCGCUCCCGGGGCUGUGCUGCGGGGCCUGGGCAGAGCCCCUUCUCCUCCUGCCCUCACACAAAGCAAACACCUCCUGGGCUGGGGCUUUUAUUCUUGGCGAAGCAGGGAAGCAGGUGGGGGAGAAAAUCAGCGCUUGGCAGAAGAGGCUCAGCAGUGGCCACUUCAGCCAGCCUCGGGAGCAGUCAUCGCACCGCGGCGGUGCGGAGCGAGGGCAGUGCGCCCGGCGGGGCUGCAGGGGCCGCUCCUGGCCUUUGGGAGGGGCUCCUAGGGCCCACUUGAUGAAUUGUUGUGAUCCUCCUGUGCCCCCCACUGGCAGAAGCGUCUGCGUUGUGCUGCUCGGGCUGCAGAGCGGAGAAUCCUCUGGUCCUGCUGCCUGUGCCUUACCCGGCAGCUCGCUCAGGGCAGAAAGGAGUUCGUUAGAGAAGUGCCAGCAGAGGAACUGCCAAGUGUGAAGUUUCUCCUGCAAGAAACAACCAAAACAGAGCUGUCAGGAGUGUUUGUGGUGUGCCCAUGGCCCAGGGAGUGAGGCAGAGCCAACACUGCUGAUGCCAGGAGAAGUGUGAGAGCAUCCAUGGGCUGUGUUGAGGCUCAGCUCAGGAUGAAAAUCACUCUUGACCACCCUCCCUCUGGCUCUGUGUGCUGAUGGCAGCCCUGGUGAGGUCAGGCCUUGCUUGGGGAGCUUGGCCCCUGCUGCUGACUGGAAGGUGCAGCGAAAUGGUGCAGCAAAGGCUCCUGCACCCCCAGAGCCAGCAGCAUGACACAGAAGGCUUUUAGAUGCAGCCCCCCAAUAAAGCUCUUUGCUUUGGUUUAAAA